AAGAGCGUUUGGUGUAUGGGGAAUCUCCUCCGGGUGGAGUGAUAGGGAGCUCUGUCUGGUGUCAGCAUCCUGUGAUUCUCUCCCCAGCAGAGUCUGCCUCCUUUGGUCAGCAGAGGGAAGCAGUGAAACAGAACUUUCUGAAGCCCAGGGCUGGGUUCACCCUGCUUUGUAUGUUCAGAGCCUCUGCAGAGUUCUAGGCAAAUGGGGAAACGGACUCAGACAUGAAGUCACUUGCCUGUGGCCAUGGAGCUGGUGAAUGGUAUACCUGGUGGAUUAUCUACUGUUAUCACCAGGGAAGGCCUGCUCUUCUCUUUCCGAAUCUAUCUCCAAUCUUAUUUUCCAUCCAAAGCUGGGACAGGAAACAGAAGCUUGAGGCUAGAAUCUGGUACACUGGAAUGGACAGGACUGGACUGCUGACCUCUGCUGCUAGUCUUACAUCCAAGUGAUCCCCAAUGGCCAUUGCCCUAGGAUAAGUCUCCACCCUCUCUUGUCAGCCCUCCUCACUGCUCUCCUACCCUCCAAGUCUUUCCACAUCCCCAUAUUAAUCUCCACGUUAGCUAGAGUGACUAAUGCCUCAGGUCCCUUUAUGGCCUUCAGUCCUCCCCACGGGCUCUGGGUCAAGCUCCAGGUCUUCAGCCUGGCGUAAAAGGCUGGGCAUGCUCUGGUUUGGCCUGCCUCUCCAGCCUCUCCUCU
ensembl:lncRNA